GAGUUCAGACUCGUAGCAGAUAGCUCAGUAACACGUGGCCAAACUGCCCUAUAGACGGCGAUAACCUCGGGAAACUGAGGCUAAUAGCCGAUACCGUUCACUACCUGGAGUGGUGUGAACGCGAAACGUUCAGGCGCUAUAGGAUGUGGCUGCGGCCGAUUAGGUAGACGGUGGGGUAACGGCCCACCGUGCCUAUAAUCGGUACGGGUUGUGAGAGCAAGAGCCCGGAGACGGUAUCUGAGACAAGAUACCGGGCCCUACGGGGCGCAGCAGGCGCGAAACCUUUACACUGCACGCGAGUGCGAUAAGGGGACUCCGAGUGCGAGGGCAUAUAGUCCUCGCUUUUCACCACCGUAAGGUGGUGGUGGAAUAAGUGCUGGGCAAGACCGGUGCCAGCCGCCGCGGUAAUACCGGCAGCACGAGUGAUGACCGCUAUUAUUGGGCCUAAAGCGUCCGUAGCUGGCCAUACAAGUCUAUCGGGAAAUCUGCGCGCUUAACGCGCAGGCGUCCGGUGGAAACUGUGUGGCUUGGGACCGGAAGACCAGAGGGGUACGUCCGGGGUAGGAGUGAAAUCCC
rnacentral:rRNA from 1 species